rnacentral:rRNA from 1 species
UACGGAAGGCAGCAGUGGGGAAUAUUGCACAAUGGGCGAAAGCCUGAUGCAGCUAUGCCGCGUGUAUGAAGAAGGCCUUAGGGUUGUAAAGUACUUUCAUCGGGGAGGAAAAACAAAACUAAUAAUUUUAUUUCUUGACGUUACCCGAAAAAGAAGCACCGGCUAACUCCGUGCCAGCAGCCGCGGUAAUACGGAGGGUGCUAGCGUUAAUCAGAAUUACUGGGCGUAAAGAGCACGUAGGUGGUUUUUUUAAGUCAGAUGUGAAAUCCCUAGGCUUAACCUAGGAACUGCAUUUUGAAACUGAAAUACUAGAGUAUCGUAGAGGGAGGUAGAAUUCUAGGUGUAGCGGUGAAAUGCGUAGAUAUCUGGAGGAAUACCUGUGGCGAAAGCGGCCUCCUAAACGAAUACUGACACUGAGGGUGCGAAAGCGUGGGGAGCAAACAGGAUUAGAUACC